CAGUCGCCGCGGUAAUACGAAGGGGGCUAGCGUUGCUCGGAAUUACUGGGCGUAAAGGGAGCGUAGGCGGAUCGUUAAGUUGGGGGUGAAAGCCCGGGGCUCAACCCCGGAACUGCCUUCAAUACUGGCGAUCUUGAGUAUGAGAGAGGUGUGUGGAACUCCGAGUGUAGAGGUGAAAUUCGUAGAUAUUCGGAAGAACACCAGUGGCGAAGGCGACACACUGGCUCAUUACUGACGCUGAGGCUCGAAAGCGUGGGGAGCGAACAGGAUUAGAUACCCCAGUAGUCCCUGUCUCUUAUAC
rnacentral:rRNA from 1 species